rnacentral:rRNA from 1 species
ACAAUAGACUACCCGGUGGUCCACGCCCUAAACGAUGCGAACUGGAUGUUGGGUACAUUACGGUACUCAGUGUCGAAGCUAACGCGUUAAGUUCGCCGCCUGGGGAGUACGGUCGCAAGACUGAAACUCAAAGGAAUUGACGGGGGCCCGCACAAGCGGUGGAGUAUGUGGUUUAAUUCGAUGCAACGCGAAGAACCUUACCUGGCCUUGACAUCUGUCGAAUCCUGCAGAGAUGCGGGAGUGCCGCAAGGAACGACAAGACAGGUGCUGCAUGGCUGUCGUCAGCUCGUGUCGUGAGAUGUUGGGUUAAGUCCCGCAACGAGCGCAACCCUUGUCCUUAGUUGCCAGCACGUAAUGGUGGGAACUCUAAGGAGACUGCCGGUGACAAACCGGAGGAAGGUGGGGAUGACGUCAAGUCCUCAUGGCCCUUACGGCCAGGGCUACACACGUACUACAAUGGUCGGUACAGAGGGUUGCGAAGCCGCGAGGUGGAGCCAAUCCCAGAAAGCCGAUCCCAGUCCGGAUUGGAGU